rnacentral:rRNA from 1 species
UCCGGGGGGUGCGAUCGUUAUUCGGAAUCAUUGGGCGUAAAGGGCGCGUAGGCGGUCUUUUAAGUCAGAUGUGAAAGCCCUCGGCUUAACCGAGGAAGUGCAUUUGAUACUAAGAGACUUGAGUAUGGGAGAGGGAAGCGGAAUUCCUGGUGUAGCGGUGAAAUGCGUAGAUAUCAGGAGGAACACCGGUGGCGAAGGCGGCUUCCUGGACCAAUACUGACGCUGAGGCGCGAAGGCGUGGGGAGAAAACAGG